rnacentral:rRNA from 1 species
UAAUACGGAGGGUGCGAGCGUUGUCCGGAAUCACUGGGCGUAAAGGGCGCGUAGGCGGCGCGGGAAGGCGGCGGUGAAAGUCCGGGGCUCAACCCCGGAUCGGCCGUGGCGACUCCCGCGCUGGAGCACAGUAGAGGCGGGUGGAAUUCCGGGUGUAGCGGUGGAAUGCGUAGAGAUCCGGAAGAACACCGGUGGC